UACAGAGGUCUCAAGCGUUGUUCGGAUUCAUUGGGCGUAAAGGGUGCGUAGGUGGCGCGCUAAGUCGGGUGUGAAAUUUCGGAGCUUAACUCCGAAACUGCAUUCGAUACUGCGGUGCUUGAGGACUGGAGAGGAGACUGGAAUUCCUGGUGUAGCGGUGGAAUGCGCAGAUAUCAGGAGGAACACCGAUGGCGAAGGCAGGUCACUGGGCCGCAACUGACGCUGAGGAGCGAAAGCAUGGGGAGCGAACAGG
rnacentral:rRNA from 1 species